UAAGGUAGCAUAAUUAGUUGCCUCAUAAUUGGAGGAUUGUUUGAAAGGUUUGACUUGAGGAUUUGACUAGAUUAGGGCUUGGGCUGAAAUUGGAGUUGAGGUGCAGAUCCCUCGGAUUUUUAAUAAGACGGAAAGACCCCGAGAUCUUUAUAUUGUGUUAUUUGUUUGGGGUAAAAUGCUAUGUUUUAUGUUAUUUUUGAUCCUAAUGGAUAAAAGGUUUAAGUUACCUCGGGGAUAACUAGGUAAAAAAUAAGGAGAGGUCGGAUCGAUUUAUUUUAUUGCUAUCUCGAUGUUGACUUGGGGAAAAGUAGAGGGGUGUAGGAGUUUCUUUACUGGGUCUGUUCGACCGUAGUUUCUCUCAUGAGUUGAGUUAAGACCGGCGUGAGC
rnacentral:rRNA from 1 species